rnacentral:lncRNA from 1 species
GCGGCCGCUGAGGAGAAAGGUUCUUCUGAGUGGCGCUGGUCCAAGCUGUGAAGUCCGGCGGGGAGACUGUUAAAACCUUCAGCCCUAUAACCGGAGCUACCUCAUCUGUUUCAUCAUCACCAACAUGAACUUAGAGCAGAGUCUGUGAAACCCGGCAGAGCCACACCUGAGACUGAGGAGGAAACCGACUCUCACAGAAAGAGGGGGAUAAUUACAGAGUGAAGCUAAAAUUCCUUAAUUUUGUUUUCAUUUUAACUGACCUAUUUCGUUUGGGCUUCCCAAAAGUCAUAGUUUUAAAAUCACGAUAUGUUGCUUAAGUGGGAUGCUGUUGAAAUGUGUGCCCAAGCACAUUGCUUAGUUACUGAUUUUAAUGAAACAUAUUUUGAAGCAGUUUUAGAAUUGUAUACAAUGUUUGGGCGAGACGUAUUAU